rnacentral:rRNA from 1 species
UACAGAGGGUGCGAGCGUUAAUAGGAAUUCCUGGGCGUAAAGCGCACGUAGGCGGCGACGUAAGUCGGGUGUGAAAGCCCCGGGCUCAACCUGGGAAUUGCAUUCGAGACUGCAUUGCUGGAGUACGGAAGAGGAGGGCGGAAUUCCCGGUGUAGCGGUGAAAUGCGUAGAUAUCGGGAGGAACAUCAGUGGCGAAGGCGGCCCUCUGGUCCAGUACUGACACUCAAGUGCGAAAGCGUGGGGAGCAAACAGG